rnacentral:lncRNA from 1 species
CAAACACAUCUUAAGCCUCUGCUCUGUUUCAGGUACCAUGUUGGAUGCAAAGACAAAAAGGAAACAGUCUCUGCCCUCAGACACUUGCAUUCUAAUGAAGAAGAAAACAAGUACAAAGAUUUUGUAUGGAAAAUCUUCCAUAACAGUGGCAAACAACCAAGAUUCAAUUACAAAAGGCUUAUCUGGUUCCCUCACCAAAUUUCCUGCUGGUUCAUGUUCUUUCACUUUUUUGAUAAGUGAUCAUCUUUUUGGUCAUUGAAUAAAAAUCACACAGAACUAAUAAUUUCUAUGUCUUUUUAUCUGCACUGUAGGCAACCAUGCUCUAUCCCUGAUCUUCCUCUCUUCCACAUCUCCCAGUGAACCUCCAUACUUGACUAGAUUGGUCCUCAGAUGGCAGAUACAAUUUAUCCAAUGGUAGACUAUUGAUGCUCCAUCAGGACUAUAUUUUAUAGCAUUGCAGAUGUCACACUCUUCUAACAAAAUCCCAGAGAAGUGAAGAUUUUCUCUACAGUCUGCUGAAUAAUUG